GAAAUGCGAUAAUUAAUGUGAAUUGCAGAAUUCAGUGAAUCAUCGAGUCUUUGAACGCACAUUGCGCCCCCUGGUAUUCCGGGGGGCAUGCCUGUCCGAGCGUCAUUGCUGCCCUCAAGCACGGCUUGUGUGUUGGGCUUCCGUCCCUGGCAACGGGGACGGGCCCAAAAGGCAGUGGCGGCACCAUGUCUGGUCCUCGAGCGUAUGGGGCUUUGUCACCCGCUCCCGUAGGUCCAGCUGGCAGCUAGCCUCGCAACAAAUCUUUUUAACCAGGUUGACCUCGGAUCAGGUAGGGAUACCCGCUGAACUUAAGC
rnacentral:misc_RNA from 1 species